UGCCUUAGUAACGGCGAGUGAAGCGGCAAAAGCUCAAAUUUGAAAUCUGGCGUCUUCGACGUCCGAGUUGUAAUUUGAAGAAGGCGACUUUGUAGCUGGUCCUUGUCUAUGUUCCUUGGAACAGGACGUCAUAGAGGGUGAGAAUCCCGUGUGGCGAGGAUCCCAGUUAUUUGUAAAGUGCUUUCGACGAGUCGAGUUGUUUGGGAAUGCAGCUCUAAGUGGGUGGUAAAUUCCAUCUAAAGCUAAAUAUUGGCGAGAGACCGAUAGCGAACAAGUACAGUGAUGGAAAGAUGAAAAGAACUUUGAAAAGAGAGUGAAAAAGUACGUGAAAUUGUUGAAAGGGAAGGGCAUUUGAUCAGACAUGGCGUUUGCUUCGGCUUUCGCUGGGCCAGCAUCAGUUUUAGCGGUUGGAUAAAUCCUCGGGAAUGUGGCUCUGCUUCGGUAGAGUGUUAUAGCCCGUGGGAAUACAGCCAGCUGGGACUGAGGAUUGCGACUUUUGUCAAGGAUGCUGGCGUAAUGGUUAAAUGCCGCCCGUCUUGAAACACGGACCAAGGAGUCUAACGUCUAUGCGAGUGUUUGGGUGUAAAACCCGUACGCGUAAUGAAAGUGAACGUAGGUGAGGGCCCGCAAGGGUGCAUCAUCGACCGAUCCUGAUGUCUUCGGAUGGAUUUGAGUAAGAGCAUAGCUGUUGGGACCCGAAAGAUGGUGAACUAUGCCUGAAUAGGGUGAAGCCAGAGGAAACUCUGGUGGAG
rnacentral:rRNA from 1 species